UACGUAGGGUGCAAGCGUUAAUCGGGAAUUACUGGGCGUAAAGCGUGCGCAGGCGGUGAUGUAAGACAGGUGUGAAAUCCCCGGGCUUAACCUGGGAACUGCAUUUGUGACUGCAUCGCUGGAGUGCGGCAGAGGGGGAUGGAAUUCCGCGUGUAGCAGUGAAAUGCGUAGAUAUGCGGAGGAACACCGAUGGCGAAGGCAAUCCCCCUGGGCCUGCACUGACGCUCAUGCACGAAAGCGUGGGGAGCAAACAGG
rnacentral:rRNA from 1 species